rnacentral:misc_RNA from 1 species
UUUCCGUAGGUGAGCCUGCGGAAGGAUCAUUAGAAAUGGCGGGGGAAGACUUGCUCUUCUCCCCAAAUCUCUAUUCUGUGCACUGUUUUUGUGUGCUGGGCUAGUUUCGGCUGGGUCAGCACGGGGUGGAGCUUUGGAAACUGUUUGCUAUGAAUUUUCCCCCGGGAAAGUUCCGCUGGAAACUUUUGACAUCUCCGCCGAAAUUUAAUACUAAUACUGACUGACCAUGAAAAAGUUAAUAUAACAACUUUCAGCAAUGGAUCUCUCGGCUUUCGCAUCAAUGAAGAACGCAGC